rnacentral:tRNA from 3 species
GCGGCGAUGGUCUAACGGUAUGACUCGAGCCUUCCAAGCUCGUGGCCCGGGUUCGACUCCCGGUCGCCGCA